CUACGGGUUGCUCCAGUGGGGAAUAUUGGACAAUGGACCAAAAGUCUGAUCCAGCAAUUCUGUGUGCACGAUGACGGUUUUCGGAUUGUAAAGUGCUUUCAACAGGGAAGAAGUUCUGACGGUACCUGUAGAAGAAGCGACGGCUAAAUACGUGCCAGCAGCCGCGGUAAUACGUAUGUGCGCAAGCGUUAUCCGGAUUUAUUGGGCAUAAAGGGCAUCUAGGCGGCUUAGUAAGUCUGAUGUGAAAAUGCGGGGCUCAACUCCGUAUUGCGUUGGAAACUACUAAGCUAGAGUAUUGGAGAGGUAGGCGGAACUACAUGUGUAGAGGUGAAAUUCGUAGAUAUAUGUAGGAAUGCCGACGACGAAGGUAGCUUACUGGACAAUUACUGACGCUGAAGUGCGAAAGCUAGGGGAGCAAACAGGAUUAGAUACCCUGGUAGUC
rnacentral:rRNA from 1 species